AUUGAACGCUGGCGGCAUGCUUUACACAUGCAAGUCGAACGGUAACAGGCCGCAAGGUGCUGACGAGUGGCGAACGGGUGAGUAAUGCAUCGGAACGUGCCCAGUCGUGGGGGAUAACGCAGCGAAAGCUGCGCUAAUACCGCACACGAGCUCUGGAUGAAAGCGGGGGACCGAAAGGCCUCGCGCGGUUGGAGUGCCCGAUGUCAGAUUAGGUAGUUGGUGGGGUAAAGGCCCACCAAGCCAACGAUCUGUAGCUGGUCUGAGAGGACGACCAGCCACACUGGGACUGAGACACGGCCCAGACUCCUACGGGAGGCAGCAGUGGGGAAUUUUGGACAAUGGGCGCAAGCCUGAUCCAGCAAUGCCGCGUGCAGGAAGAAGGCCUUCGGGUUGUAAACUGCUUUUGUACGGAACGAAACGGUCCGGGUUAAUACCCUGGGCUAAUGACGGUACCGUAAGAAUAAGCACCGGCUAACUACGUGCCAGCCGCCGCGGUAAAAC
rnacentral:rRNA from 1 species